rnacentral:rRNA from 1 species
CGGGAAAGUUGAAAAGAACUUUGAAGAGAGAGUUCAAAAGGGCGUGAAACCGCUUAGAAUAAAACGGACGGAGCCGUUAGUGGCCCGGCGGAAUCAGUCGUAUGACGCGCGAUAACGCGUUAUUCGCUAGAGCGAAAGUCUAGCGGGCGUGUUAGUAAAUAGUAGCGUUCAUUCGAUGCAUUUCCGUCGGGUAAGCGUCGCGACCGAUGCGAAAGACUAUCGAAACCGGCAUAUUGAGGUCGAGAUACUCCUCGUGGGUAAUUUCGUAACCAGUUUGUCGGUCGUCAUCGAUAGAUAAACGCAUCGAGCGUCAGUAAAUUAGUAACGCCGGCGUAAACGCUCGCUUAAGCGAUGGAAAGUCGACGGAUCGGUUGACGCCUGCUUGCAGGUUUCGAUUUUGAUCUUCGUUCGGCGUUUGAAAUCGCAGGCGACGCAUUACGGCGUUAUGGCGUCAGCGACGUCCGAGACGGUCAACCGUCCGACCCGUCUUGAAACACGGACCAAGGAGUCUAACGUACGCGCGAGCUAAUGGGUGGAAAACCUAUAAGCGCAAUAAAAGUAAAAGCCGUUUCGGACGGCGCGGGGUACGAUCUCGAGGCCGCUGGCCUUAGAGCGCAGUACCGUCCCGUUCUAACCGCUUGUCGGUGGGGCGGAGACUGAGUGCAUACGUUGGGACCCGAAAGAUGGUGAACUAUGCCUGAGCAGAGCGAAGCCAGAGGAAACUCUGGUGGAGGUUCGUAGCGGUUCUGACGUGCAAAUCGAUCGUCAGACUUGGGUAUAGGGGCGAAAGACUAAUCGAACCAUCUAGUAGUU